rnacentral:rRNA from 1 species
UACGUAGGCAGCAAGCGUUGUUCGGAAUUACUGGGCGUAAAGAGUGUGUAGGCGGUGCUCUAAGUUCGGUGUGAAAUCUCCCGGCUCAACUGGGAGGGUGCGCCGAAAACUGGAGUGCUGGAGCGCGGGAGAGGAAAGCGGAAUUCCUGGUGUAGCGGUGAAAUGCGUAGAGAUCGGGAGGAACAUCAGUGGCGAAGGCAGCCAUCUGGGACAACACUGACGCUGAAGCACGAAAGCGUGGGGAGCAAACAGG